rnacentral:tRNA from 1 species
GGGGUUGUGGCUCAGUGGUAGAGCAUUCACCUAGCAUGUGCGAGGCCCUGGGUUUGAUCCUCAGCACCA